AUUGAACGCUGGCGGCAGGCCUAACACAUGCAAGUCGAGCGGAUGAAGGGAGCUUGCUCCUGGAUUCAGCGGCGGACGGGUGAGUAAUGCCUAGGAAUCUGCCUGGUAGUGGGGGAUAACGUCCGGAAACGGGCGCUAAUACCGCAUACGUCCUGAGGGAGAAAGUGGGGGAUCUUCGGACCUCACGCUAUCAGAUGAGCCUAGGUCGGAUUAGCUAGUUGGUGGGGUAAAGGCCUACUAAGGCGACGAUCCGUAACUGGUCUGAGAGGAUGAUCAGUCACACUGGAGCGGAGACACGGUCCAGACUCCUACGGGAGGCAGCAGUGGGGAAUAUUGGACAAUGGGCGAAAGCCUGAUCCAGCCAUGCCGCGUGUGUGAAGAAGGUCUUCGGAUUGUAAAGCACUUUAAGUUGGGAGGAAGGGCAGUAAGUUAAUACCUUGCUGUUUUGACGUUACCAACAGAAUAAGCACCGGCUAACUUCGUG
rnacentral:rRNA from 1 species